rnacentral:rRNA from 1 species
CGUGUAGGCGGCUCAUCAAGUCUGGUGUGAAAUCGCAGGGCUUAACCCUGCAUAUGCGCUGGAAACUGGUGGGCUUGAGUUCUUGAGGGGAAGCUGGAAUUCCAGGUGUAGGGGUGAAAUCUGUAGAUAUCUGGAAGAACACCGGUGGCGAAGGCGAGCUUCUAUCAGAGGACUGACGCUGAGGCGCGAAAGCGUGGGGAGCAAACAGGAUUAGAUACCCUGGUAGUCCACGCUGUAAACGAUGUGCACUAGGCGUGGGGCACGUACGUGUUCUGUGCCGUAGUUAACGUGAUAAGUGCACCGGCCUGGGGAGUAUGCUCGACGAAGGGUAGAA